UAGGUCUCUGGUCCAAAACCACACCUGGCCUCGCAUCCUUCUAAUGAUAAUCCCCACAGAGUUCCAGGUGUUCAGCCCAGUGACUGAUUACGAGCCCUGCCGAGUUCAGAGGGACAAGAUGGAGGCUAUAUAUAAAUCCGACAAAGUUUCAAAAGGUAGUUCUGAGGACAGCCUUGAUGCCGGCGCUGGGCAAAAAUAAAGGGCUCCCACUUCCACUCUCAGCUCCCAGAGGGAUGUCCUUGGCCGUAUCGCCAGGACAUCUGCCCAGGAAAGGAACAGGGGAGUAUAAGAAGAUAUCAGCUGCAAAGACCAUCCUUCAUUGUAAGAACGAUGCUGGAGGAGAGGACGUGGAGGGAUAGGGGGCUUGUUCUCUCCCCUGUUCCACUCCACCAAACUUCCCAGAGAAAAACAAUUUUUUUUUUCUUUUUUGAGACAAGGUCUUGCUCUGACACAGAGGCUGGAGUGCAGUGGUGCAAUCACGGGCUCACUGCACCCCUGAACUCCUGGGCUCAAAUGAUCCUCCUGCCCCAGCCUCCUGAGUAGCUGGAACUACAGGCAUGUGCCACCAUGCCCUGCUAAUUUAUUUUUAUUUUUGUAGAGAUGGAAUCUCCCUAUAUUGCCCAGGCUAGUGUUGAACUCCUGGGCUAAAGUGACCCUCUUGCCUCAGCCUCCCAAAAUGCUGGGAUUACAGAUGUGAGCCACUGACCCUGGCAGAAAAAGAUGUUUUAAUUGCCAGAAACAUAUGUGGAAAUACUGAAAGAACAAGAAAUUAGCUGCCUAAAUUUUGUUACCUUUUUUUUUUUUUUUUUUGAGAUGGAGUCUCGCUCUGUCGCCCAGGCUGGAGUGCAGUGGCACAAUCUCGGCUCACUGCAAGCUCCGCCUCCUGGGUUCACGCCAUUCUCCCGCUUCAGCCUCCCAAGUAGCUGGGACUGUGGGUGCCCGCCACCACUCCCGGCUAAUUUUGUUUUUGUAUUUUUAGUAGAGACAGGGUUUCACCAUGUUAGCCAGGAUGGUCUCAAUCUUCUGACCUCGUGAUCCGGCCGCCUCAGCCUUCCAAAGUGCUAGGAAUACAGGUGUAAGCCACCACACUUGGCCAGUAACGAUAAUAAUUCUUUUUUUUUUUGACACGGGAUCUCACUCUGUUGCCCAGGUUGGAAUGCAGUUGUGCGAUCUUGGCUCACUGCAACCUCUGCCUCCUAGGUUCAAGUGAUUCUCCUGCCUCAGCCUCCUAAGUAGCUGGGAGUACAGGCAUGCACCACCACACCUGGCUAAGUUUUGUACUUUUAGUAGAAACAGAGUUUUGCCAGGUUGCCAAGGCUGGCCUUGAACUCCUUGGCUCAGGGGUUCUGCCCACCUCAGCCUCCCAAAGUGCUGGGAUUACAGGCGUGAGCCACUGCAACUGGCCACCUUUUUAUAAUUCUUAUGACACUGUAAAUAAUCUCAAAAGUUCCCAAUUAGAUAGAAAAUAAAAGUAAAGAAAAAUGGGCCAGGUACAGUGACUCACAUCUGUAAUACCAGCGCUUUGGGAGGGCGAGGCAGGAGGUUUGCUUGAGGCCAGGAGUUCAAGACAAGUCUGGGCAACAUAGUGAGACCCCAUCUCUACAAAAAAUUUAAAAAUUAGCUGGACAUGGUGAUGCACACCUGUAAUUCUAGCUACCUGGGACUGAAGCAGGAGGAUUGCUUGAGUCUAGGAGUUUGAGGUUGCAGUGAGCUAUGACUGUGCCACUGUACUCUAGGCUGGGUGACAGAAUGAGACCUUAUCUCAAAAAAAAAAUUAUAAGAGAAAAAUGAAGAACAUUUUUUAUGUAAUUGACUAUAGUACAGAAUAGAAUUGGAAUUUAAAGUUGCUAUUGUAGUUAUUUUAUUUUAUUAUUUUGGAGACUGGGUCUUACUAUGUUUCCCAAGCUGGUCAGAAACUCCUGGUCUUAAGUAAUCCUCCCACCUCAGCCUCCCAAAGCCCUGGGAUUACACCAGGUGAACCCUCCUGCCCGGCUCUGUAAUUUUAUAUUACUUAUUCUUAAUAUAUUUUCUUUAAAAAAUAUUUGAAAAUAAUUGUUAUUUAAAUUACCUAACCUUGUAUAUUAAUUAGUUCCUGAUAUUUCUUAAAUAAAGGAUUCCUG
rnacentral:lncRNA from 10 species